CAGGGCCACUGUGGGCCGUCUCCAGGCCGUGUCCAGACGCCUAUUUGCAGAGCUGGAGAACGAGAGAGACCUGCAGUCGAGGACUGAGGCCAUGCUGAAGGAGAGCGAGAACACCAUGUGGCACAUCGAGAUCCAGGAGGGGCGACUCGAGGCCUUCCGGACAGCUGACCGUGAGGAGGUGGAGGCCACGGGGCGGCGGCUCCAGGUGCGCGCAGCCGAGCAGCUCUGCAGAGAGCAGGAGGCCCUGGGGAAGGUGGAGCGGAACCGGCUGCUGAGGAUCAGGAAGUCCCUGCACACCCAGAAGGAGCUCGGGCUCAGGCACCAGAAGCUGCUGGAGGACGCCCGGAAGAACCACAAGGUUGCCGUGCGGUUCCUGAAGGCCUCCCUGGG
rnacentral:lncRNA from 1 species